rnacentral:misc_RNA from 1 species
GAUGAAGAACGCAGCGAAAUGCGAUACGUAAUGUGAAUUGCAGAAUUCAGUGAAUCAUCGAGUCUUUGAACGCACAUUGCGCCCCCUGGUAUUCCGGGGAGCAUGCCUGUCCGAGCGUCAUUGCUGCCCUCAAGCACGGCUUGUGUGUUGGGCCUCCGUCCUCCUCCCGGGGGACGGGCCCGAAAGGCAGCGGCGGCACCGCGUCCGGUCCUCGAGCGUAUGGGGCUUCGUCACCCGCUCUUGUAGGCCCGGCCGGCGCUUGCCGACACAUCAAUCUUUUUUCCAGGUUGACCUCGGAUCAGGUAGGGAUACCCGCUGAACUUAAGCAUAUCAAUAAGCGGAGGA